CAGGCCUAACACAUGCAAGUCGAGCGGCAGCACGGGAAGCUUGCUUUCUGGUGGCGAGCGGCGGACGGGUGAGUACUGCAUAGGAAUCUACCCGGUAGUGGGGGAUAACCUGGGGAAACUCAGGCUAAUACCGCAUACGUCCUACGGGAGAAAGGGGGCUUUGGCUCCCGCUAUCGGAUGAGCCUAUGCCGGAUUAGCUGGUUGGUGAGGUAAUGGCUCACCAAGGCGACGAUCCGUAGCUGGUCUGAGAGGAUGAUCAGCCACAUCGGGACUGAGACACGGCCCGAACUCCUACGGGAGGCAGCAGUGGGGAAUAUUGGACAAUGGGGGCAACCCUGAUCCAGCCAUGCCGCGUGUGUGAAGAAGGCCUUCGGGUUGUAAAGCACUUUCAGCGAGGAAGAACGCCUGGCGGUUAAUACCCGCCAGGAAAGACAUCACUCGCAGAAGAAGCACCGGCUAACUCCGUGCCAGCAGCCGCGGUAAUACGGAGGGUGCAAGCGUUAAUCGGAAUUACUGGGCGUAAAGCGCGCGUAGGUGGCUUGAUAAGCCGGUUGUGAAAGCCCCGGGCUCAACCUGGGAACGGCAUCCGGAACUGUCAGGCUAGAGUGCAGGAGAGGAAGGUAGAAUUCCCGGUGUAGCGGUGAAAUGCGUAGAGAUCGGGAGGAAUACCAGUGGCGAAGGCGGCCUUCUGGACUGACACUGACACUGAGGUGCGAAAGCGUGGGUAGCAAACAGGAUUAGAUACCCUGGUAGUCCACGCCGUAAACGAUGUCGACCAGCCGUUGGGUGCCUAGCGCACUUUGUGGCGAAGUUAACGCGAUAAGUCGACCGCCUGGGGAGUCGGCCGCAAGGUUAAAAC
rnacentral:rRNA from 1 species